AGAUCUUCACGAACUCAAAGACAAAUACCGGUAUUUUGCAAGGGAGACAACAAGCUCCCUAUUACUACUACUACUACUGUACAGUAUUUUAUUGCUAAAUAGAUAAAGUAACUAACAAAA
rnacentral:lncRNA from 1 species